AUUGGGUGUGGUGGUGCAUGUCUAUAAUCCCAGCUGCCAGAUUGGUGAAGGCUGGUGAAUCUCUUGGGCUUCUGAGUUCUGAGCUUCAGUGAACUAAAGCUGAUCAGGUGUCCACACUAAGUGAGGCACCAAUAUGGUGAGCCCCUGGUAGUGAGGGAGCCACCAGGUUGUAUAAGGAAGGGUGAGCCGUUCAGGUCAAAAAAGGAGCAGGUCAAAGCUCCCAUGCAGGUCAGAGUGGGAUUGGACCCAGGAAUAGACCCUGACCAUGUACCCUGGCCAAGAUAGGAAGACUCCAUCUU
rnacentral:SRP_RNA from 1 species